GUUUGAUCCUGGCUCAGAAUCAACGCUGGCGGCGUGCCUAACACAUGCAAGUCGAACGAGAAAGGGGAGCAAUCCCUGAGUACAGUGGCGACCGGGUGAGUAACACGUGACUAACCUACCCUCGAGUGGGGAAUAACUCCGGGAAACCGGAGCUAAUACCGCAUAAUAUCGCGAGAUCAAAGCAGCAAUGCGCUUGAGGAGGGGGUCGCGGCUGAUUAGCUAGUUGGCGGGGUAAUGGCCCACCAAGGCGAAGAUCGGUAUCCGGCCUGAGAGGGCGCACGGACACACUGGAACUGAAACACGGUCCAGACUCCUACGGGAGGCAGCAGUGGGGAAUUUUGCGCAAUGGGGGAAACCCUGACGCAGCAACGCCGCGUGGAGGAUGAAGUCCCUUGGGACGUAAA
rnacentral:rRNA from 1 species